ensembl:snoRNA SNORD36 Small nucleolar RNA SNORD36
AUGCAGUGAUGACUAGAAUUUCUUCACCUGAACCCUGAUGCUUUUGAGCUUUUUAACCCUGAGCAUU